UACAGAGGUCUCAAGCGUUGUUCGGAUUCAUUGGGCGUAAAGGGUGCGUAGGCGGCGCGGUAAGUCGGGUGUGAAAUCUUGGAGCUUAACUCCGAAACUGCAUUCGAUACUGCCGUGCUUGAGGACUGGAGAGGAGACUGGAAUUUACGGUGUAGCGGUGAAAUGCGUAGAUAUCAGGAGGAACACCGGUGGCGAAGGCGGUGGUCUGGGCCGGAACUGACGCUGAGGAGCGAAAGCGUGGGGAGCGAACAGG
rnacentral:rRNA from 1 species